rnacentral:rRNA from 1 species
AUUGAACGCUGGCGGCAGGCUUAACACAUGCAAGUCGAACGAGUGGCGGACGGGUGAGUAAUGUCUGGGAAACUGCCUGAUGGAGGGGGAUAACUACUGGAAACGGUAGCUAAUACCGCAUACCAUCAGAUGUGCCCAGAUGGGAUUAGCUAGUGGGUGGGGUAAUGGCUCACCUAGGCGACGAUCCCUAGCUGGUCUGAGAGGAUGACCAGCCACACUGUAACUGAGACCCGGUCCAUACUCCUACGGGAGGCAGCAGUUGGGAAUAUUGCACACUGGGCGCACGCCUUAUGCAGCCAUGCCGCGUGUGUGAAGAAGGCCUUCGGGUUGUAAAGCACUUUCAGCGAGGGGGCGUUACUCGCAGAAGAAGCACCGGCUAACUCCGUGCCAGCAGCCGCGGUAAUUC